AGUGGGGGCGGGCCAAAUAAUGCAAGUCGAGCGGACCGACGGGAGCUUGCUCCCUUAGGUCAGCGGCGGACGGGUGAGUAACACGUGGGUAACCUGCCUGUAAAACUGGGAUAACUCCGGGAAACCGGGGCUAAUACCGGAUGCUUGAUUGAACCGCAUGGUUCAAUCAUAAAAGGUGGCUUUUAGCUACCACUUACAGAUGGACCCGCGGCGCAUUAGCUAGUUGGUGAGGUAACGGCUCACCAAGGCGACGAUGCGUAGCCGACCUGAGAGGGUGAUCGGCCACACUGGGACUGAAACACGGCCCAAACUCCUACGGGAGGCAGCAGUAGGGAAUCUUCCGCAAUGGACAAAAGUCUGACGGAGCAACGCCGCGUGAGUGAUGAAGGUUUUCGGAUCGUAAAACUCUGUUGUUAGGGAAAAACAAGUACCGUUCGAAUAGGGCGGUACCUUGACGGUACCUAACCAAAAAGCCACGGCUAACUACGUGCCAGCAGCCGCGGUAAUACGUAGGUGGCAAGCGUUGUCCGGAAUUAUUGGGCGUAAAGCGCGCGCAGGCGGUUUCUUAAGUCUGAUGUGAAAGCCCCCGGCUCAACCGGGGAGGGUCAUUGGAAACUGGGGAACUUGAGUGCAGAAGAGGAGAGUGGAAUUCCACGUGUAGCGGUGAAAUGCGUAGAGAUGUGGAGGAACACCAGUGGCGAAGGCGACUCUCUGGUCUGUAACUGACGCUGAGGCGCGAAAGCGUGGGGAGCGAACAGGAUUAGAUACCCUGGUAGUCCACGCCGUAAACGAUGAGUGCUAAGUGUUAGAGGGUUUCGCCCUUUAGUGCUGCAGCAACGCAUAGCACUCCGCUGGGGGAGUACGGUCGCAGACUGAACUCAAGGAUGACGGGGCCGCACAGCGUGAGCAUGUGUAUUCGAGCACGGCGAAGGAACCU
rnacentral:rRNA from 2 species